rnacentral:rRNA from 1 species
AUGGCGACCGGCGCACGGGUGAGUAACACGUAUCCAACCUGCCGAUAACUCGGGGAUAGCCUUUCGAAAGAAAGAUUAAUACCCGAUGGUAUAAUCAGACCGCAUGGUUUGAUUAUUAAAGAAUUUCGGUUAUCGAUGGGGAUGCGUUCCAUUAGGCAGUUGGUGAGGUAACGGCUCACCAAACCUUCGAUGGAUAGGGGCUCUGAGAGGAAGGUCCCCCACAUUGGAACUGAGACACGGUCCAA